AACGUAGGUGGCGAGCGUUAUCCGGAUUUACUGGGCGUAAAGGGUGUGCAGGCGGGCUGUUAAGUGGUGUAUGAAAUAUCCCGGCUCAACCGGGAAGGGUUAUGCCAGACUGGCAGUCUAGAGAGCGAGAGAGGGACGUGGAAUUCCGGGUGUAGUGGUGAAAUGCGUAGAGAUCCGGAGGAACCCCAGAGGCGAAGGCGGCGUCCUGGCUCGCAUCUGACGCUCAGACACGACAGCAUGGGGAGCGAACGGG
rnacentral:rRNA from 2 species